rnacentral:sRNA from 1 species
ACUGCCCUGUCAAAGCGAAGGCCUACGUUCCACGUGGGAACUUUUUUAGCUACGAUGGGGCUUU